CUCACGCUAUCUCAAGCAUUGUUAGAGGUAAUUGACUUUGGUUUAACCCCGUUCUAUGAUUAUUUCUUUACGUUGCAUUUUUAUGAAACUGUAUAUUGCUGAAACAGGGGAGAAGCAAGUUUGGAUGUCAGAUGAAGUUUGGAAGAAAGAUGCUACUUAAAUUCUGUGUACAUUCUGAUCUCAUUUUUUGUUUAAGCAUUAAUAAGUUUGAAAAUUGGUUCAACAUACGAGUAGAGUCGUGGAGAGGCCUAAAGUGUUUCCUUCGAUCAAACAUGUUACAAAGAAAAUUAUACGAUCAUUCAUUACAACCAUCACAACCUUCAUCUUCCUGUAGAAAGGAAAGUUGAGACGAAGCAGAUAACGGUUAAAAAUCUUCCAGCAGUUAUGUAAGGAGCACACUCAAGGAACUUUAUUUAGAUAGGAUAGCAAAAUAUAUAUAAGACAAG
rnacentral:lncRNA from 1 species